CCUACGGGUGGCAGCAGUGAGGAAUAUUGGUCAAUGGACGAGAGUCUGAACCAGCCAAGUAGCGUGAAGGAUGACUGCCCUAUGGGUUGUAAACUUCUUUUAUAUGGGAAUAAAAUGUUCCACGUGUGGCUUUUUGUAUGUACCAUAUGAAUAAGGAUCGGCUAACUCCGUGCCAGCAGCCGCGGUAAUACGGAGGAUCCGAGCGUUAUCCGGAUUUAUUGGGUUUAAAGGGAGCGUAGGUGGAUUGUUAAGUCAGUUGUGAAAGUUUGCGGCUCAACCGUAAAAUUGCAGUUGAAACUGGCAGUCUUGAGUACAGUAGAGGUGGGCGGAAUUCGUGGUGUAGCGGUGAAAUGCUUAGAUAUCACGAAGAACUCCGAUUGCGAAGGCAGCUCACUGGACUGCAACUGACACUGAGGCUCGAAAGUGUGGGUAUCAAACAGGAUUAGAUACCCUUGUAGUC
rnacentral:rRNA from 1 species